CGCACGGGUGAGUAACACGUAUCCAACCUGCCGUCUACUCUUGGCCAGCCUUCUGAAAGGAAGAUUAAUCCAGGAUGGCAUCAUGAGUUCACAUGUCCGCAUGAUUAAAGGUAUUUUCCGGUAGACGAUGGGGAUGCGUUCCAUUAGAUAGUAGGCGGGGUAACGACCCACCUAGUCAACGAUGGAUAGGGGUUCUGAGAGGAAGGUCCCCCACAUUGGAACUGAGACACGGUCCAA
rnacentral:rRNA from 1 species